rnacentral:tRNA from 1 species
GUCUUCGUGGUGUAAUGGUUAACACACUCGGCGUAUAUUCGAGAGGUCUAGGUUCGAGUCCCGGCGAGGGCA